rnacentral:rRNA from 1 species
GUGGGGAAUAUUGGACAAUGGGCGAAAGCCUGAUCCAGCCAUGCCGCGUGUGUGAAGAAGGUCUUCGGAUUGUAAAGCACUUUAAGUUGGGAGGAAGGGCAGUAAGUUAAUACCUUGCUGUUUUGACGUUACCGACAGAAUAAGCACCGGCUAACUUCGUGCCAGCAGCCGCGGUAAUACGAAGGGUGCAAGCGUUAAUCGGAAUUACUGGGCGUAAAGCGCGCGUAGGUGGUUUUGUAAGUUGGAGGUGAAAUCCCCGGGCUCAACCUGGGAACUGCCUCCAAAACUGCAUGACUAGAGUACGGUAGAGGGUAGUUGAAUUUCCUGUGUAGCGGUGAAAUGCGUAGAUAUAGGAAGGAACACCAGUGGCGAAGGCGACUACCUGGACUGAUACUGACACUGAGGUGCGAAAGCGUGGGGAGCAAACAGGAUUAGAUACCCCGGUAGUCC